UACAGAGGUCCCAAGCGUUGUUCGGAUUCACUGGGCGUAAAGGGUGCGUAGGCGGGUUUUUAAGUCAGGGGUGAAAUCCUGGAGCUCAAUUCCAGAACUGCCUUUGAUACUGAGAAUCUUGAGUACGGGAGAGGUGAGUGGAACUGCGAGUGUAGAGGUGAAAUUCGUAGAUAUUCGCAAGAACACCAGUGGCGAAGGCGGCUCACUGGCCCGUUACUGACGCUGAGGCACGAAAGCGUGGGGAGCAAACAGG
rnacentral:rRNA from 1 species